UACAGAGGGUGCAAGCGUUGUUCGGAAUUAUUGGGCGUAAAGGGAGUGUAGGCGGUUUCCUAAGUCUUCUGUGAAAUCUACGGGCUUAGCCUGUAACGUGCAGAGGAAACUGGGAGACUUGAGUGUCGGAGAGGAUAGGGGAAUACCCGGUGUAGAGGUGAAAUUCGUAGAGAUCGGGUGGAACACCAGUGGCGAAGGCGCCUGUCUGGCUGACAACUGACGCUGAGACUCGAAAGCAUGGGGAGCAAACAGG
rnacentral:rRNA from 1 species